rnacentral:rRNA from 1 species
GUGAAGCCUGCGGUUCAAUUCGGAGUCAACGCCAGAAAUCUUACCCGGAGAGACAGCAGAAUGAAGGUCAAGCUGAAGACUUUACCAGACAAGCUGAGAGGUGGUGCAUGGCCGUCGCCAGCUCGUGCCGUGAGAUGUCCUGUUAAGUCAGGUAACGAGCGAGAUCCCUGCCUCUAGUUGCCACCAUUACUCUCAGGAGUAGUGGGGCGAAUUAGCGGGACCGCCGCAGUUAAUGCGGAGGAAGGAAGGGGCCACGGCAGGUCAGUAUGCCCCGAAACUCUGGGGCCACACGCGGGCUGCAAUGGUAACGACAAUUGGUUUCGAAUCCGAAAGGAUGAGGUAAUCCUCAAACGUUACCACAGUUAUGACUGAGGGCUGCAACUCGCCCUCACGAAUAUGGAAUCCCUAGUAACUGCGUGUCAUUAUCGCGCGGUGAAUACGUCCCUGCCCCUUGUACACACCGCCCA